UGGCCUAGUGGUUAAGGCUGUGGAUCGCCAAUCCGGAGACGGCGGGUUCGAUUCCCGU
rnacentral:tRNA from 1 species